rnacentral:rRNA from 1 species
AACGCUAGCUACAGGCUUAACACAUGCAAGUCGAGGGGCAGCAUGGUCUUAGCUUGCUAAGGCUGAUGGCGACCGGCGCACGGGUGAGUAACACGUAUCCAACCUGCCGUCUACUCUUGGCCAGCCUUCUGAAAGGAAGAUUAAUCCAGGAUGGGAUCAUGAGUUCACAUGUCCGCAUGAUUAAAGGUAUUUUCCGGUAGACGAUGGGGAUGCGUUCCAUUAGAUAGUAGGCGGGGUAACGGCCCACCUAGUCAACGAUGGAUAGGGGUUCUGAGAGGAAGGUCCCCCACAUUGGAACUGAGACACGGUCCAAACUCCUACGGGAGGCAGCAGUGAGGAAUAUUGGUCAAUGGGCGAUGGCCCGAACCAGCCAAGUAGCGUGAAGGAUGACUGCCCUAUGGGUUGUAAACUUCUUUUAUAAAGGAAUAAAGUCGGGUAUGCAUAUCCGUUUGCAUGUACUUUAUGAAUAAGGAUCGGCUAACUCCGUGCCAGCAGCCGCGGUAAUACGGAGGAUCCGAGCGUUAUCCGGAUUUAUUGGGUUUAAAGGGAGCGUAGAUGGAUGUUUAAGUCAGUUGUGAAAGUUUGCGGCUCAACCGUAAAAUUGCAGUUGAUACUGGAUGUCUUGAGUGCAGGUGAGGCAGGCGGAAUUCGUGGUGUAGCGGUGAAAUGCUUAGAUAUCACGAAGAACUCCGAUUG